rnacentral:rRNA from 1 species
CCUACGGGUGGCUGCAGUGAGGAAUAUUGGUCAAUGGGCGCGAGCCUGAACCAGCCAAGUAGCGUGAAGGAUGACUGCCCUACGGGUUGUAAACUUCUUUUAUAAAGGAAUAAAGUGAGGCACGUGUGCCUUUUUGUAUGUACUUUAUGAAUAAGGAUCGGCUAACUCCGUGCCAGCAGCCGCGGUAAUACGGAGGAUCCGAGCGUUAUCCGGAUUUAUUGGGUUUAAAGGGAGCGUAGAUGGGUUGUUAAGUCAGUUGUGAAAGUUUGCGGCUCAACCGUAAAAUUGCAAUUGAUACUGGCAGUCUUGAGUACAGUUGAGGUAGGCGGAAUUCGUGGUGUAGCGGUGAAAUGCUUAGAUAUCACGAAGAACUCCGAUUGCGAAGGCAGGUGUCCGGGGUGCAACUGACGCUGAGGCUCGAAAGUGCGGGUAUCAAACAGGAUUAGAUACCCUAGUAGUC